GCCCGGAUGGUCUAGUGGUAUGAUUCCUCGUUCGGGUGACAAGUGCAAAACCCUCUUGUGUAAAACUUGAAAAUCGAGGAGGUCCCGCGUUCGAAUCGCGGUUCGGGCC